GACUUUGGACUCACGUAGGCAUAGGAGAACGAAACUUCUGUACAUUUUAAUCUGAAUAAUUCUUCAGGAUUUAACAUUAAUUGGCUCUGGCUUGGUUGGACCUUACUCGGAUCUCGCCACCUCUGCGUUUCCCGAGUCACUGGCGAAGAGGUCCCGGUUCCUCUGGGAAUCGUCCUGUAUGCAACAUCUUCACAAGGGUGGCAGGCAGUUGAAUCUCUGGACUUCGUGAGACCACUGGACAUUUGGCAGAGAACCAGGAAGCCACGGUUCCCUUCUGUGAGUCCCUCAGCCGGAAAACUACAAGAAUGAAAAGAAUGCAUGGCAUACAUCACCAAGAAUCAAAGGUUGUCCCUGGCAGUGUAAUUGACUCUGUAAUAAAGAGAGAAGCUUCGCUAGCUCCUGAUGCAGCUGCUGUCUGCAGACCCCCUAGACUGCCUGGGGAAGUGAGUCGGAGCUCCUGCAGCAGAGGGGUGGAACAGCUACACGAAGAUCCGAAGGUGGCCAAAAAUAACAGCGCUUUCCAGAUGAGGGAGCCAGUUGUCCAGCACAGUGUCAUGGGACAGUGGGUCCUGGUGCCACAAUGCCCGGCAUCUCCACCAGAUACAGCUUUGAGAUCUUCAUGAUGAAGCUUGCUCCAAUCCAAGGGCUGCCAGAUGGAGUUUGCUGUUCAGCUGCUAACCUUUCUUUGAUCCAAAUCCUGUGUUCACUGGCUUCAAGAAUCCUGUCUUCAUUGGCUUCAAGAAUCCUGUCUUCAUUGGCUUCAAAACUGGGAUGAAGGAGGCUCCUUAGUGGAGAGCAAACCAAAGAGAAACUCAAAUUGGAUUCAUAUUAAAGAAGAGAAGGAUGGAUUUGUUGAGACAACACAAACCCAGGAAGGGUUUGAGGGGUGAAACAAACUGGGUUAUGGAUGAACAGCGGGCAAUUGGAAUGUAGAACUGAAACAGCAAUUAACAUCUUGGUAAGUUACCCACCAUAAAAUGCUUUAGAGCAA
rnacentral:antisense_RNA from 1 species